AUACGGAGGGUGCAAGCGUUAUUCGGAAUCACUGGGCGUAAAGCGUACGUAGGCGGACUGAUCAGUUGGGGGUGAAAUCCCAGGGCUUAACCCUGGAACUGCCUUCAAUACUGUCAGUCUUGAGAUUGGAAGAGGUGAGUGGAAUUCCUAGUGUAGAGGUGAAAUUCAUAGAUAUUAGGAGGAACACCAGUGGCGAAGGCGGCUCACUGGUCCAAUACUGACGCUGAGGUACGAAAGCGUGGGGAGCAAACAGGAUUAGAUACCCUAGUAGUCC
rnacentral:rRNA from 1 species